GAUGAACGCUGGCGGCAUGCCUAACACAUGCAAGUCGAGCGACCGCACGAUGAGCUCUCGCCUCUACCGUUGGCGGCGGGCGGGUGAGUAAGACGUGCAUAACCUACCUAUUAGACUGGGGUAACUACGUGGAACCGGAUCUACUACCCGCGCAUAUGUCGAACCGGUGGGAUCAUUAGUGCAUGAGGCUUUUGUUGUCACUUAUAGAUGGUUCCGCGCCGCAUUAGCUAGUUGGUAAGGUAAAGGCCUACUAAGGCUACGAUGCGUAGCUGACCUGAGAGGAUGAUCAGCCACACUGGAACUGAGACACGGUCCAGACUCCUACGGGAGGCAGCAGUGGGGAAUAUUCGACAAUGGGCGAAAGCCUGACCCAGCCAUGCCGCGUGGGUGAAGAAGGUCUUCGGAUUGUAAAGCUCUGUUAUUAGGGAAGAACAGCAGUAGGUGAAUACAUGGCUGUUUUGACGGUACCUAAAGAAUAAGCACCGGCUAACUUCGUG
rnacentral:rRNA from 1 species